GGAUACUACAACAGUGAGUGAGGAGCCUAUACUACACGAAUUUGGUAUACAGAGCUUAUUAUCAUCCCAACUGAAAAUUCCUGUUGGAUACUUUGAGACCAUUGGACUUUGGUGUCUAAUGGAUAGGCUAGAUCAGAUAUUGCAUCAGCACAGGAAGGUUUCCAGUUCUUGUUAAUGGCUCUCCAGCUGGUUUCUUCCAUUCAGAAAGGGGUUUAAGAAAGGGCGAUCCUUUGUCCCUUUCUAUUUUCAAUGUUGCUAUGGAAGGACUUCAUCAUAUGCUUAGAAAGACUGAGGGGGGGAAUCGGGUCAAGGGCUUCCAGGUGAGUUCAGGAGUGGAUAGUACUCUGAAGAUUUCACACCUAAAAUAUGCAGAUGACAUAUUGGUGUUCUGUGAGGCAAAUUGUGACCAAGUGAGAAUGCUGAGGAUCAUUUUUAUUCUUGCUUGAAGCAAUAUACCUGGUUUACACAUAAACUGGAC
rnacentral:misc_RNA from 1 species